GUCUAUAUCAUAGCAUUCUAAAAGAGCAUGACCUUGCUUGAUCUCAGAAGCUAAGCAGGAUUGGGUCUAGUUAGUCCUUGGAUGGGAGAAACUGAAGUGGGGCAGCGAUGGGCU
rnacentral:rRNA from 1 species